AACGAACGCUGGCGGCAUGCCUAACACAUGCAAGUCGAACGAGACCUUCGGGUCUAGUGGCGCACGGGUGCGUAACGCGUGGGAACCUGCCCUUAGGUUCGGAAUAACUCAGCGAAAUUUGUGCUAAUACCGGAUGAUGUCUUCGGACCAAAGAUUUCUCGCCUUUGGAUGGGCCCGCGUUGGAUUAGCUAGUUGGUGGGGUAAAGGCCUACCAAGGCGACGAUCCAUAGCUGGUCUGAGAGGAUGAUUAGCCACACUGGGACUGAGACACGGCCCAGAAUCCUACGGGAGGCAGCAGUGGGGAAUAUUGGACAAUGGGCGAAAGCCUGAUACAGCAAUGCCGCGUGAGUGAUGAAGGCCUUAGGGUUGUAAAGCUCUUUUACCCGAGAUGAUAAUGACAGUACCGGGAGAAUAAGCUCCGGCUAACUCCGUG
rnacentral:rRNA from 1 species